rnacentral:misc_RNA from 1 species
AAGUCGUAACAAGGUUCCCGUAGGUGAACCUGCGGAAGGAUCAUUCAUGAAUUUGGACCUCUGUGUCCUAAAUCUCAUCCUUCAAUACCUCUGUGAACUGUUGGCCCUCGGGCCUAUUACAAACAUCAGUGUAAUGAACGUCAUACAUAUAUAGCAAUUAUAAAA